rnacentral:tRNA from 1 species
UGUCAGACAGCCGGUUAGCUCAGUCGGUAGGGCAAUCGCCCUUUAAGCGAGGGGUCCCGGGUUCGAGCCCCGGACUGACAG